AUAGUUUUUGAAGGCCAGAUACUGCGGCAGCGCUCCCUAGGCCGUCACCCGUUAUGAACGAGGCAUGCGGCAGCGGCGACGAUCUAGCUGACGUAGCGGUCAUAAUACACCUGUAGGCUACUGUUGUUUGUAAUCUGUAAGUCGAACUGACUCCGCAGUACAGUACGAUCGUAUGCAUCGAAACUCCACAUCACUUUAAAGGCAUAUUAAUCUGAAGCUGUAUAUAUUGAAAGGAAACUUCCGUGAUUCUGUAUAUCUUUGCCUGAACUUUUAUGCCACAUAUUUUGUUUUAUACAACAUAAGCCAGCGCCAGCUAGUCAGCUGAUGAAUUCGUCGAGUGUAGCGGACAACGCCCACACACCCUGCCGGAGUUUCCCCGUUCUAAAAACACCGCGACGAUCUGCGAUCAAAGGGGGAAUACCAGCCCAUUAUAAGGGACUAUAUAUAUAUCAACACAACCGCAUAGAUUGAAGCCAUCUUGUGUGCUAUCCUUUUGUUGUUGUUCAUGGAUAUCGUUUGGAGGGGGAAUACCAGCCCAUUAUAAGGGACUAUAUAUAUAUCAACACAACCGCAUAGAUUGAAGCCAUCUUGUGUGCUAUGCUGUAGGGGUUGUUCAUGGAUAUAUAUAACAUUUGGAGGUAAGUUAAUGACACAUUUGUCUCAUAUUUUUUGUUUCAUCUACUUGACUGUCACAUACUCAUGUAAUUGCAAAUGAUAUGUGACAGCAGCAUACAUGUACAUACAGCAAGAUGAAAAUUAUGUGGGAGGAGACUGGGGUGCACAAGCUCAUAUCUUCAGUACCCCACAACCCUAAAACAAAAUAUUGCUGUCUCCUAACCUACAUGUAUCAAUUGUCUUUUUGAAGCCAGAAGAGU